GGACAGGUGGCCGAGUGGUUAAGGCGCCAGCUUCAGGUGCUGGUGGAGCAAUCCGCGCGAGUUCGAGUCUCGUCCUGUUCA